CUCUAAUUUUAAUGUUCUACUCAAGCCUUUAAGGUCUCAGUUGGUUAAUGUUUAAUGCGUUCCACAACCAGUGUUUGAUGUUUAUACUUUAUUGGGCUAACCAAAUUUGUAGAGCAAAUUAAAAGUGUGCAGGUCUUUGGCAAGCCACAUUGAGAUAUGUGUUGCUCAGAAACCAUCUCCUUGUUCUAUACUGCAUGCCCCAAAUAGUUUCAAUUAACUGUUCUCUGUUCUUGGCAAUAUAUGCAGUUUUCUGCAUUGCUUUUGGGGAGCAAUUAACUUCCUAGAUUUAUAAACAUCAUACCCUCAUACCCUUUCAGAAAGCAAGUCACAGCAGAGAGUACCACUUCUAUGUGAAGUGAGAGUGUCAGCAACAGGGUAGGGGAAACCGAAGCUUGGAAUCUCCAGCCUGCUGGCUCCGGUCUCCUGUUGCAAUGCUGCCCUUAACCUCGCUGGGCAUCAACUACACCAGAAGAGCACUGGCUAUGAUCUCUGGAGUCUCCCACUUCAGAUCUUGGCUUUUUGGUCACCAGGCAUGUCCCCGACCAGGGAUUGAACCUGCACUCCUGGCAUUGGAAAGUGAAGUCUUAACCUCGGGACCACCAGGGAAGCCCCUACACCAGUCUUCUUAAAGGACACAAGUUUCACAAGUAAUUGCCCCAAAGAUGACAACUUUAAUUUUCUUCAAAGAGUGCCUUGAUUGUGGCCAGCUAUUAGCAAUCUUUCUCUCCAUGUUUUUAAGGCAAUAUUCUCUUUCAGCUUUGCUGAGGGACCCCAGUUUGACACAGUGUGAGAUGUUAAGAAGGUUCUGGUAUGUGAUCAGCAGAUGAAAACAAGGAAUCCCCAAACUGCAGGGUCAUUGAUGGACCGGGG
ensembl:lncRNA